rnacentral:rRNA from 1 species
CCUACGGGGGGCAGCAGUGGGGAAUAUUGCACAAUGGGCGAAAGCCUGAUGCAGCAACGCCGCGUGAGGGAUGACGGCCUUCGGGUUGAAACCUCUUUUAGUAGGGAAGCGGUACCUGCAGAAAAAGCACCGGCUAACUACGUGCCAGCAGCCGCGGUAAUACGUAGGGUGCAAGCGUUGUCCGGAAUUAUUGGGCGUAAAGAGCUCGUAGGCGGUUUGUCGCGUCUGCUGUGAAAUCUGGGGGCUCAACCCCCAGCCUGCAGUGGGUACGGGCAGACUAGAGUGCGGUAGGGGAGAUUGGAAUUCCUGGUGUAGCGGUGGAAUGCGCAGAUAUCAGGAGGAACACCGAUGGCGAAGGCAGAUCUCUGGGCCGUACUGACGCUGAGGAGCGAAAGCAUGGGGAGCGAACAGGAUUAGAUACCCCUGUAGUC